CCACACCUAAAACUUUCCACGUGAACUGUCAUUAUUUGUUGUGCGCUCUCUGCGGUGUCGGUGGCGUCUGUUGGCUGUAUUUGAUACUGCUGGCGGGUGCGAGCCGGAUGCGGAGGCUGAACGAAGGUCGAGUUGCUUUGCUCUCGGCUGACUUAUUUUUCAAACCCAAUACCCAACUUACUGAUUAUACUGUGAGAACGAAAGUUCUUGCUUUUAACUAGAUAACAACUUUCAGCAGUGGAUGUCUAGGCUCGCACAUCGAUGAAGAACGCUGCGAACUGCGAUACGUAAUGCGAAUUGCAGAAUUCAGUGAGUCAUCGAAAUUUUGAACGCAUAUUGCACUUCCGGGUUAUGCCUGGAAGUAUGUCUGUAUCAGUGUCCGUAAAUCAACCUUGCCUUUCUUCCUUCUGUGUAGUCAGUGGAGGAUGUGGCAGACGUGAAGUGUCUCGCUGUGGCUGGUUUUGAACACAGUUUGCGAGUCCUWUUAAAUGGACACGACUUUCUCUUUUUUGUUUCUGCGAGGUGCUGUGCUCGAACGCGGUGGUKUUCGGAUCGCUCGCGGCUGUKGGCGACUUCGGUGAAUGCRUUAUSGAGUGGACCUCGAUUCGCGGUAUGUUGGGCUUCGGCUGGACAAUGUYRCUUAUUGUGUGUKUGUUCCGCGUUCGCCUUGA
rnacentral:rRNA from 1 species